UCUUGGUCCAUUUAGAGGAAGUAAAAGUCGUAACAAGGUUUCCGUAGGUGAACCUGCGGAAGGAUCAUUACAGAGUUCAUGCCCUAACGGGUAGACCUCCCACCCUUGUGUAAUUAUACUUUGUUGCUUUGGCGAGCUGCGUGACCCUUUUAGGGUCUCGCCUCAAGUGUUAAAGCUUGAGAGUCGCCCGCCAGAGGAUACCAAAACUCUGAAUAUUAAUGUCGUCUGAGUACUAUAUAAUAGUUAAAACUUUCAACAACGGAUCUCUUGGUUCUGGCAUCGAUGAAGAACGCAGCGAAAUGCGAUAAGUAAUGUGAAUUGCAGAAUUCAGUGAAUCAUCGAAUCUUUGAACGCACAUUGCGCCCCUUGGUAUUCCGGGGGGCAUGCCUGUUCGAGCGUCAUUUCAACCCUCAAGCCUAGCUUGGUAUUGGGCUUCGUCGGUCACACGACGGGCCUUAAAGUGAGUGGCGGCGCCAUUGGGUCCUGAACGUAGUAAUAUAUUUCGUUACAGGUAUCUCAUGUGCUUCUGCCAUUAAAACCCCAAUUUUUUAUGGUUGACCUCGGAUCAGGUAGGGAUACCCGCUGAACUUAAGCAUAUCAAUAAG
rnacentral:rRNA from 1 species